rnacentral:rRNA from 1 species
GAUGAACGCUGGCGGCGUGCCUAAUACAUGCAAGUCGAGCGAACAGACGAGGAGCUUGCUCCUCUGACGUUAGCGGCGGACGGGUGAGUAACACGUGGAUAACCUACCUAUAAGACUGGGAUAACUUCGGGAAACCGGAGCUAAUACCGGAUAAUAUAUUGAACCGCAUGGUUCAAUAGUGAAAGACGGUUUUGCUGUCACUUAUAGAUGGAUCCGCGCCGCAUUAGCUAGUUGGUAAGGUAACGGCUUACCAAGGCAACGAUGCGUAGCCGACCUGAGAGAGUGAUCGGCCACACAGGAACUGAGACACGGUCCAGACUCCUACGGGAGGCAGCAGUAGGGAAUCGUGCGCAAUGAGCGAAAGCCUGACGGAGCAACGCCGCGUGAGUGAUGAAGGUCUUCGGAUCGUAAAGCGCUGUUAUUAGGGAAGAACAAAUGUGUAAGUAACUAUGCACGUCUUGACGGUACCUAAGCAGAAAGCCACGGCUAACUACGUG